rnacentral:rRNA from 1 species
AGAGUUUGAUCCUGGCUCAGGACGAACGCUGGCGGCGUGCUUAACACAUGCAAGUCGUACGAGACGAUUGAAAGCUUGCUUUUGAAAGUCGAGUGGCAAACGGGUGAGUAACGCGUAGACAACCUGCCGUAAAGAUGGGGACAACAGUCCGAAAGGACUGCUAAUACCGAAUGUUGUGGAACUUCCGCAUGGGAGCUCCACUAAAGAUGGCCUCUACUUGUAAGCUAUCGCUUUACGAUGGGUCUGCGUCUGAUUAGCUAGUUGGUGGGGGUAACGGCCUACCAAGACGACGAUCAGUAGCCGGCUGAAAGGAUAACGGCCNCNUUGGAACUGAGACCCGUCCANACUCCUACGGANGNAGNANUGNGNAUCUUCCNCAUGG